rnacentral:misc_RNA from 1 species
GACCGUGACGGUACGUGAGUGGCGUUGUAACCCAGUGCAUUGGUGGGCCCCCUGCUUAUGUGCAGCCGACCGCGAGUGUAAUGGGAUGGUUUGUUCAAGAAAUCCCUCCGUGCACGAUACUGAGGGCAUAAUCGGCGGAUUGUAUCGCAUAGUCCGGACGUGGCAACUCGGUGACCCUAUGUUAAGUUAACAACAUGUCGUUCUACUCCCUCCCCUCGRAAGGGCGAGUAGUGAGAAGUGACCCUCUUACGAUGUCCYGUKCGUCCUCGGCGGCGCUUGCGCUCGUACAAUACAAGUGUGUGCAGGCUUGCGCCCUCCGUUUGGCCCUCGGGACUGUGGUGCGCUYACGGAUGCAUUGAAUUAGAUGGGGUCGGGUGCGCCACGCGGCUCCCGACUGGAUUAAUUGAAGGUGUUUGCGCAYGCCGCGAGCGGGCAAACAAACAAACGAUGGGCUCGGAAACGGAAUGGRACYWUGUUUGCGCACGCCGCGAGCGGGCAAACGAACGAUGGCUCGGAAACGAAAUAAGAYGUUUGCGCACGCCGCGAGCGGGCAAACGAAACGGGAACGGAACGGAACGGAAUGGAAUAAACGACCGCCAAGGUGUGUGCUCGUCAAGCCGUCUCGGCGGAUAGUCGGGCCGCCCAUGGGCRUCRUCUCGGAGGGUUCGCUACCKKU